rnacentral:rRNA from 1 species
GCCUGUAGCCAUGCUACCUCAGGAUGUGAUCUCAGAGCCUAAGCAGGGUCAGUGCUGGUUAGUUGUUAGAUGGGGAGCUCCAAGGAAAAUCCAGCUGCUGAAAGAA